AAGAAUCUGCACUUGAAUUGAAAGGCAAUGGGGAGCUCCUGAGAAUAGACUCAGAGGGAGAGUGGUAUUUAUCAAAGCCGUGCUUAAGGAAGAUGUACGGGACAGAAGAAUUUAGGAUGGACAGUGUGAGGACCCAGGUGCUCCCGUUUCCUCCUCGGUGGGAAAGCAGGUGAUAAUAAAACUUAUCACCCACUCAUCUCAGGGGAGUGCUGCGGAGAGCAACCAAUAUACAUACAGAAAUAAGUGUAAGGCACUCGGCGAGAACAAAGUGUGCUAGAAAUGCUAAACAAUAAUAAAUUCAGCCACCUCCUUCCCCACGAUAGUAAACAAUGUGUCUUUUUUUAAAAGCAGAUGUGGUUAACCAGAUGCUAACUUUGAGGCUGUCUAUAUAACCUCUAACAACAGGUGAUUAAACCUAAACUCUUGAUUUUCAAGCAUUCCUUCAUUAGAGAGUCUCCGAGUGACCCUGAUACCUCCAUCAAACCACGGCCUGGACUAGAAAGCAAUUAAUCAACAUGAAAAUUACUUUAUCAACCCGCCUCCAAUUCUUAGUAUCAAUGUGUGACUAAUAUCAGCAUCCAAACUACAGGCAGUCCCCACCCUCUCCCUAAGCUGUA
rnacentral:lncRNA from 1 species